rnacentral:lncRNA from 1 species
CUCAUUUUCUGACACACUUUACUAUAAAUUUUUUUUUUUUUUUUUUUUUUUUUUUUUCCCAACAAAAUAGGUAUUGUAAAAAAAAAGAGAACACGUUCUUUUGACGUUCACCUUCAUCCUUACUGAUAUACUAUUAGAUAUAGAGGGAAAUAUCCAAAUAGAAUUGAAAUUUAUAGAAAAUGAUUAUACUACAACUAGCACUCUUGAAAAUAUACAAAAAAAACACAGAUGAUUUAUACGAAGAGGAAAUUGGUACAUAAAAUGUAUUUUAUUAAAAAUAUACGCACAUAUAUAUACACAUAUAUAUAUAUAUAUAUAUAUAUAUAUAUACAUUUAUAUACAUUAUAAAAUUUUAUUUUUUUCUAUUCAAAAAAAAUAGAAGAAGUAUAUGAAGACACAAGAGAAGAAGGUGUAGGAGCUAACGUUCUGUCAACACAAAAAAAAAAAAAAAAAUUGAUGAUUUAACUUUCUCACACGCUCAAAAAAUAUUUGACAACAUUCAAACGUUUAAAUACACAUAUGACAACAUUAGUAGAAGUACGCUUCAAAAGGCAAUAAGACGACUGUAUGGAAUUCCAAAUGAUGAUGAUAUUGUCGAAAAAGAAAAUGUGAAAGAAACAAAUAUAGAGAGAGUUAAACAAUUUAGUAAAUUUUAUUUUUACGUUCACAUAAAAAUAUACACAUGCAACUCUAAAGAUGUAGUAAUGAAAAGCGAAAAGUUUGAAAAUUUAACUGAAACUAAUAUUUAUCCUAAACAUUUAUAUUUUAAAAGAUAUAUUUAUUUACCAAUUCCAAUGGAGGACAAAUCUAAAAGCUUUUUUAAAAGACAUUAUUUUGAUUUUGAUAAAUUAGAAAAUUUAAAGAUUCAAAAUAAAAUGGAAAAUGAAAUACCAGAUGAGCAAACAAUUUUAUAUCAUAAAAGAAAAAUUUACUGUUGUAUGUUUUCGGAAAUGUUUAAAAGUAUAAUUAAGACACAUAUCAAGAAAUAUGUUACAGAACUUUUGAAUAUUAGCUCAUGUUCAAUACAAACGAUUGAUAAAAUUUUAAGUGAAGAUUUGAUUGAUGUUAUAAAAAGAAACAAAAAAGCGGAUGUAGUAAACAGCCCAAUAGAACAUAAUUAUUCAUUUUUAAAACCGACGAUUUUGUCCCAUUUUUUUUCAAGUAUUUUUUCAGAUGUUAUUAAAAAUCUUACAAAUGAAAAUGUUGUAUUUACUAAAAAAGCUUAAUUGGAAAUUUUGUACAAAUUAAAACUUAAACAAAUGCGUAAAUUAAUAAAAUAAUAAAAUAAUAAAAUUAUAAAAUAAUA